UACAGAGGGGGCAAGCGUUGUUCGGAUUUACUGGGCGUAAAGGGCGCGUAGGCGGCUUAACAAGUCACUUGUGAAAUCUCCGGGCUUAACUCGGAACGGCCAAGUGAAACUGUCAAGCUAGAGUGCAGAAGGGGCAAUCGGAAUUCUUGGUGUAGCGGUGAAAUGCGUAGAUAUCAAGAGGAACACCUGAGGUGAAGACGGGUUGCUGGGCUGACACUGACGCUGAGGCGCGAAAGCCAGGGGAGCGAACGGG
rnacentral:rRNA from 1 species